ACGAACGCUGGCGGCGUGCUUCACCCAUGCAAGUCGGACGGAAAGGCCUGCUUUCCCUUGUGGAUUGCGGGUACUCGAGUGGCGAACGGGUGAGUAACACGUGAGUGAUCUGCCCCCAACUUGGGUAUAAGCCUGGGAAACUGGGUCUAAUUCCCGAUAGGACUGCAGGGUGGUGCCUGUGGUGGAAAACGAUUUUCUAGUGGUUGGGGAUGAGCUCGCGGCCUAUCAGCUUGUUGGUGGGGUAAUGGCCUACCAAGGCGGCGACGGGUAGCCGGCCUGAGAGGGUGGACGGCCACAUUGGGACUGAGAUACGGCCCAGACUCCUACGGGAGGCAGCAGUGGGGAAUAUUGCACAAUGGGCGGAAGCCUGAUGCAGCGACGCCGCGUGGGGGAUGACGGCCUUCGGGUUGUAAACUCCUUUCGACCGCGAGGAAGCCACCUGGUUGGAAGGGUGGUGACGGUAGUGGUAGAAGAAGCACCGGCUAACUACGUG
rnacentral:rRNA from 1 species